rnacentral:lncRNA from 1 species
AAGAGAUUGAGGAGCUGGGCUCACUUUCAAUCCUGAGCUUCAGGAGAAGCAGAGCCCUGACCUCCCUCCCCUAACUCACCACUCCAGGGCUGGGACCAGUAAGCUCGUAGAAGCAGCUCCAGUUCAGGGAGCCUUGUGGUUAGAACUGACCCUGUCUCCAGAGGCCACGCCAAAGGUCAAGGGUUUGAGGAAAGAUAAUGCCUCCCAGCCACCUUUUUUUUGUUUAAAAUGGAUCCAUCCUCAACAAAAUGAGUGUCUGCCACGUUGACCCUAACCUUUGCUUUCUGCAUGUCUAUGGCUGGAUACACAUCUCCUGGAUGGAGAAGAAGCGAGGCCUCCCAGUUAUUAAAGGAGAUUGUAAGGUUUGGGACGAAGCUGCACAGCCAGUCUUGGGAGAAGAGUGAACCUAAGCCGUGGAGGUGGUGGAGCAGCAUGGAUGGAAAAGUUCCCUCUGGGAAGGAAUGAUGUGUGUGGACCUCGUCACAGGAAUCAUCAUAUCAGCAGUAACUCAGUGAGCUGGGCGGCCUUGUUAUUCCCAUUUUACAGAUGGAGAAAACUGAAGAGGCUGAGUCGCUUGUACAAGGUGUCACUGCCAGGGAGUGGCUGAGCUGGGAUUUCAACCCAUACCUCUCUGCCUGCAGAGUCUGCAUGCUCAGACUAUUAUAGUGGGGGGCAUUGAAGACGCCAGUCUAGAGCAUAGACUGAGCUGUACGAUGAUGACCUAAAAUGCAUCAGAUCCUGACUGCACACUCAAAACCUCUAAUCCUGUGACUCUUAUCCAAGUUGUGUAUUAAAGAGGAAAACGAGCUUCUGCCCCUAAUUGAUUCUAAUCCUCUCCCACCCCCGGGUUCACUGUCAUUUUGGCUCUGCUUGGAAAGAUAAACACUAACCAUUGGACUUUGCCCUCUGAGGAUCCUGCUCCUACUCUCAAACAGGAGAAGGUACCCAAUGUCUGGUUCCCUCGCCUGUGCUGAGGAAUAAAGGAACCUGAAAAUGCACUGCCAUUUCAGAAAGAGCCUGCCUGCCACAAAGGUAAUAGUGUUUGAUGAUGCCACUGUCUUUCUU